rnacentral:lncRNA from 14 species
CGUGACGCUCCCUGCCAACAGGUCGCCUGAGGCAGGGCCCGCGUGUCGUAGGGGGGCGGGGGGAGGGGCGGCCCGCUGCACCCCUCUUUCACCCGGAGGCGAGGACGUCCUCGUGUCUGAGGCUGACGCCGUGGGCUUGACAAAGAGCUGAAUAACGACUAAAGAGAAUUAAGAAGUUGAAACCACAACAUGGAAGACACCUGGGGUUGACAAGCGAGUCAUCGGAGAAGCGCUUCCUAGGAGAGCUGUGUGACCAGGAACACCUCGAGUAAUGUAUUUGCUUUACUAAAGAAUGACUUGUAUGAGAAGAAAAUCUAUUUUCCAUAAAAAUAAAAAAAGAAUGACUGAAAUCUCUCCAACUGCUAUCU